rnacentral:rRNA from 1 species
AACGAACGCUGGCGGCGUGCCUAACACAUGCAAGUCGAACGGGAUGAGGGGCUUGCUCCUCAUUUAGUGGCGCACGGGUGAGUAACGCGUAGAUAAUCUGCCUGAUGAUCCGGGAUAACAGUUCGAAAGGACUGCUAAUACCGGAUAAGCCCACGGUGUCUUUGGACAUUGCGGGAAAAGGGGGGGACCAUUUGGCCUUCUGUCAUCAGAUGAGUCUGCGUACCAUUAGCUAGUUGGUAGGGUAAAGGCCUACCAAGGCGACGAUGGUUAGCUGGUCGCACAGGAUGAUCAGCAACACUGGAACUGAGACACGGUCCAGACUCCUACGGGAGGCAGCAGUGGGGAAUUUUGCGCAAUGGGCGAAAGCCUGACGCAGCAACGCCGCGUGAGUGAUGAAGGCUUUCGGGUCGUAAAGCUCUGUCGAUGGGAAAGAAGUGUACGGAGGUUAAUACCCUUUGUACUUGACGGUACCCAUAAAGGAAGCACCGGCUAACUCCGUGCCAGCCGCCGCCGUAACAC